rnacentral:lncRNA from 1 species
GAGAAAUGGGGGCCCAGAGAGCCUUGGGGCAGCAUGGUUCAUCAGUGGGGACCUGGGAAUGGAUCCCAGCUUUCUACUACCCUUGCAGGGCUCCUUCGGAAUCCAGGUGUAUGAAGGGGCGACUGUACCCCAAAUGGGCAUGGAGUUGGUGUCAUUAUGUAGGUGGCGAGCCUGCUCUCAGGGUUGCCAGUGGAAGGAAACAGCUGCAGAUUUUCACAUUUCUUUGGCAACGGGAGUAUGUGGUCUGACUUCAGAGGAAGUUGUUGCCUGCAGGCAUCCCCCCAGGAAUGCAGAAAGAAUGAGGGCCCUAACCUGGGCUGCUUGUUGAGAGGCAGAGCUCAGUCCAGGAGGGGUCCUCGGAAGAGGGAAGGACAGGACCAGACAGAGAAAGCAAAAGAAACCAACUUCUGAAAUCCUGGUACCUGAUUUCUGCUGAUUAUUGGCAUGUCAGAGAUCAUCCCAGCUUUUAAAGGGAGAGAAAAUGGAAUCUUGGAGAAUAGCAUCUGGUUUGAAUGCCUCUAGAGCCAUGUUUGUAAAACAAGUCUUUAGAGGGAAAGAAGGAAAUCAUAGAACUUUGAAUUAGAUCUCUGUCCCAUUUCGUACUUUAACAUUUUUACUUUUUGUAUAUGCUUUAUAAAAUUUGUAAUGUAUCAAUAAACUCAGACAUGCA